AUUAGAAGUCAGGAUGCGCCAUGGGAUCACCUGUUAGUGCAGUCAUAGCUGAGAUAGUAAUGCAAGAGAUAGAGUCAAUUGCCAUCAACACGUCACCUGUCCCAGUACGCUGGUGGCGAAGGUAUGUUGACGACUCCAAUUCAUGUCUACGCAAAAGUGACAUUGAACAAUUCCACACCCACCUGAACACUAUCAACAAAAACAUUCAGUUUACAAUGGAAUUGCCAUCAGAAUCAAACCACGGUGAAGCAAUUUCUUUCCUUGAUACCCACAUUACCAUUCUUAAAAACCGUACCAUUGAAGUAAGUGUAUACCGUAAGGAUACACAUACCAAUAAAUAUCUAUCCUUUCACUCUCAUAAUCCCACCCAAAGUAAGCGAGCCGUAGUUAAGACCUUACUUGAUCGAGCAGACAGCAUUCCUUCUACUGACAAUAAAAAACAGCAAGAAAAGGAGUGUGUUGUCCAAGAAUUAAAGCUCAACGGAUAUCCAGAGAAAUUCAUCUUCCAGACAAGUUCCAGCAGGUCGUUUUCCAACACUAAUGACGAACCGGAAAUUAAAGG